rnacentral:rRNA from 1 species
GACGAACGCUGGCGGCGUGCUUAACACAUGCAAGUCGAACGGAAAGGCCCUGCUUUUGUGGGGUGCUCGAGUGGCGAACGGGUGAGUAACACGUGAGUAACCUGCCCUUGACUUUGGGAUAACUUCAGGAAACUGGGGCUAAUACCGGAUAGGAGCUCCUGCUGCAUGGUAGGGGUUGGAAAGUUUCGGCGGUUGGGGAUGGACUCGCGGCUUAUCAGCUUGUUGGUGGGGUAGUGGCUUACCAAGGGUUUGACGGGUAGCCGGCCUGAGAGGGGGACCGGCCACAUGGGGACUGAGAGAGGGCCCAGAGUCCUACGGGAGGCAGCAGGGGGGAAUAUGGCACAAUGGGCGGAAGCCUGAGGCAGAAACGCCGCGUGCGGGAUGACGGCCUUCGGGUGGUAAACCGCUUUCGCCUGUGACGAAGCGUGAGUGACGGUAAUGGGUAAAGAAGCACCGGCUAACUACGUG